rnacentral:rRNA from 1 species
AUGAUUUUGUUUCAUUUUGUUGUGUGGGUGGGUGAUGGGCUUGGCUUACUCGUGGUCGAUGAUCUUCUCGGGGAUGCGCUGGCCGGGGACCUUGCAGAUGCGGGGGAACUGGGUGCUCUUGAGGAUCUCGGCGACGUCGGAGUUGCGGCGGACCUCGUCGCCGUCCUUCUCGCCGGAGGCCAGGUGGCUGCACACGAAGCACACGCUGGUCUGGUGCAGCGUCAUGCUCAUGGCGAUGCAGCCCUUGUUGCCGAGGCGGCCCAUGAUGCCGCGCCCCACGGAGUCCACCCGGAGGUGGCCGAUGUUCUGCACCAGCUCCCGCCGCACCCACACCGACAGGAAGAUGCCCACCAUCUGCUUGCUCGCGAUCAGGCAGUAGUUCAUGCCGCCGCCGGCCUCGGGUCCCGCGGGCGUCAUCAUCGCCGACGAGGAGGAGGAGCAGGAUGGGUCCGGGUCGUCGGCGCUGGACGUGGAGGCCUCGACGCGGUAGAUGAAGUCCCGCAUCUCCCUGGCGCGGCGGUGCAUGGUGGAGGGGUCGGCCAUGCAGGUGCAGGUCUUGACGAGCGCGCUGUUGACGCGGUAGCUCUUGCUGAGCGCCUUGAGGGUCGGCUUCUGGAAGAGGAGCGCGCCGCUGCUGGAGGACCUGGGGAUGGACGGGCGGGCCCGGGAGGAGGAGGAGGAGGCGACGGACUCCGUCGGCGACAGCUCGUCGCCGGACGACGGCUGGUCCUGCUGCGCCUGCGCCUGCGCCUGCUGCUGGCGCUGCUGCUGCUGCUGGGGCUUGUUCAGCGCCUGGUAGAUGAGCGCCAGCCACUUGGCCGCCGGCUCGUUGUCCUCCACCACCAGCACGUUGCCCGCGUUCAGCGGCACGAUCUCCUGGAACCUGCAUGCGCCCAUAUAGAUCAUAAUUCAUAUCGAAAAAUGUGCAGCAUCGAUCAUAGUUUCAUUGAAAAUUUGCAGGGAGAUCCUGUACGUACGUACCCUAGGACGUAUAUGUCGGGUAGCCCUUCUAUCUGGAGAAAAUCCUCUAGGUUAAGGCUGCUGUUAGGGGGCCUCCCGCCCACGUUCCACGUGCCCACGAACACCCUGCAACGCAAUGCCAUCAACUUGACAAAGAUCAGCCUCUUCUUUCAGACAAAAAGUUCAGACGAAAACUGA